UGGAUCUUUAGCUCAGUUGGUUAGAGCUAUCGGCUCAUAACCGAUCGGUCGCUGGUUCGAAUCCAGCAAGAUCCAU
rnacentral:tRNA from 4 species